AUCUGAAAAUCAUUUCAAGAAAUUGUUGAUAUAUUGGAAAGAUAGCAAUGUCCAAGCCAUUAGCCAAAAAAAUGCAGUUAAUAGGAGCAAGCAAAAGUUUAGGCAUCGUGUGGGACCAACGAACUUUGCUAGAAUUCGUGCAAAAAUGCGGGCUAAGAAGGAUGGAGAAGUCACCCAAGCUGAGGUGUUUAUUGAAACUCGCAAAAGUCGAAGAGGAAAAGAAGUUGAUGGAGAAACACAAGUUGCUCUAGUAAGUUAUAAAAUUCUAGUAUUCAUCCAAAAUACGUACAUAGUUUUUCAUUUUAUUUUUUAUACCGACAAUUUGUAUAAUUAGGACAAACUUCAAGAAUCUAUUGAUAAUUCACCUGAAACUGCCAAAGAAACAUUUCACUCACUAUUUGGGAAAGAAAAGCCUGGUAGUGUGCGUUGUCAUGGAAAAACUGCCACACCAUCAUCAUUAAGGAAAAAAGAAGAAAUUUCUUUAGUGAAAAAGCAAUAUGAUGGGAAAAUUGCUGACAUGUCACAGAAGAUGGGAGCAAUGGAAGUACUUUUAAAAAACAUGUACAUGCAACAAAAUCCACAUUUAAGUGAAGAAGAUGUAGAUAAUAUGAUUAGAAAUACUUUACAUGGUGAUGAUAAUAGUCCAA